AUGUCAUGUAAUAUAGAGUUAAUACAGAAAAUAAAGGAGAAAAAGAUUAGAAUAGAGAUACUGCCCCCAUUCGGUUGUGUCUCUUUUAUCAAGUGCUUGAUUGAUUCUUGUCCCCCCAUGUCAUUGCAAGUUGCAUCUUGCAAAACACAUCGAACAGUAAAGAAGAUUAGAAGAGUUGAAGACAUAACCCAGCUGUGCCACUCCCAGAUGCCAUGCUCUACAAGCAUUCAUGAGCAGGAUGAUAUUAAGCUAGGAAAAAGAAGCACUGAAGCAGACAAGCAGUACUACACUAGUAGUCUAGUACACUACUACUACAAUCUACAGGCAUUCAAAGAGCAGCAGCAAGCACAACAUCCAGCAGCUUAA
rnacentral:rRNA from 1 species